UGUUAAAAAUUCUAUCCAUUUGUAUUGUUAAAAUUUGGCGUAGCUAAAGGAAUAACCAAACAAUGGCACGUGACAUGACACAUGUAUCUCAUACUAAUGUAUAGAGAUUAAUUUUUAACAGAAGAACCAAUUUACUCUUUGAUU
rfam:Gossypium hirsutum cultivar TM-1 chromosome 20, whole genome shotgun sequence